CUGAGGGCUGGAAGCAGGGUAUUGCGGUUGCUGUUUGUUUUUCCCAUUCUAUCUUUGCAACCCCUUUGACCCUCUGGCGACUGGCACAGUCCAGCCAACUGUCAUCCUGGCCCCGCCCUCCUGCCAUAGGUCUGGACUAGCCCCGGGAAACCAUAGGCCGCGUACAAUAGGAAAACCAAAGCUCAGAGAAGUUAAGUAGCCCACGGAAGACCACACAGGGAGUAGCAGAGCUGCGGUGGAGACCUAAGUGUGUCCAGCUUUCUGCCUUGUCUUUCCCAAAGCUCAGCUUGCAAACACCGCCGCAGUCAAAGCCCUUGGAGCAUCACACCACCCGGCAAACAGCCCUUGGGCUUGGACUGGACAGUCGGGCCUCUCAGCAAAC